AUUGAACGCUGGCGGCAUGCCUUACACAUGCAAGUCGAACGGCAGCACGGGUGCUUGCACCUGGUGGCGAGUGGCGAACGGGUGAGUAAUACAUCGGAACAUGUCCUGUAGUGGGGGAUAGCCCGGCGAAAGCCGGAUUAAUACCGCAUACGAUCUACGGAUGAAAGCGGGGGACCUUCGGGCCUCGCGCUAUAGGGUUGGCCGAUGGCUGAUUAGCUAGUUGGUGGGGUAAAGGCCUACCAAGGCGACGAUCAGUAGCUGGUCUGAGAGGACGACCAGCCCCCUUGGGCCUGGACACGGGCCCGGCCCCCUCGGGGGGGCCGCGGUGGGAAUUUUUGGAAAAGGGGCGAAACCCUGUCCCAGAAAUCCCGGGGGGUGGAAGAAGGCCUUCGGGUUUUAAAGCCCUUUUUUCCGGAAAGAAAUCCUUGGCCCUAAUCCGGCCGGGGGUUGCCGGUACCGGAAAAAUAAGCCCCGGCUACCUCCGU
rnacentral:rRNA from 1 species